CGGAGACCAGAAGCCCCGGAGGACUAGGAAGACUACGAAGACCUAUCAGCCUGAUAGAUGCAGGAUCCGAGUGAAGGAGUCGACAGGACGACAAAGGAAGAUGAUGUGAAGGAUGGCCCGAGCUACACUCCGAGCUGCCUGUGGAGAGGAUUCGUGAAGAUGAAGUUUGCCCAGAAGACUAGAUAUCGUUUCCGCUUUCUGUUUGUUUCCUUUUAGCCCAAGGGGCUUGUACUCUGAGAUUCGUAAUACAAUUCUUUGGAUUAUGUAUUAAAUAAACCCAUGUGAUGUU